rnacentral:lncRNA from 1 species
UUCUUUGUUAAUUGUCAGCUGCUUUUAUCAAAUUCCAGUCUGUUAUCCAGCAAACACUAAAAAUGUUUGAAUAGUUGGAUUUCAAACAUUUUAACUUUGUGGAGUGGUGCUUACCAAGUGGUACAGCUCUAAGCAAGUGAAC